rnacentral:pre_miRNA from 1 species
AGCUGAAUCUUGAGGUGCUUCCGUGGUUUGGGCUCGUAGCACCACAUGAUUCAGCUUAC